UAUUUGCGUUAGGGAUAGAAACGGCAGCUUUUUUUGCCUUGAGGGCUUAGCAGAGAGCAAAAAAACUACAGUGGAUAGCCCGCCCGAAC
rnacentral:sRNA from 1 species